CUCGGAUUAGCUCAGUCUGGUAGAGCGCUGGUUUUGGGAAUCAGAGGUCGAGGGAUCGUAGCCUUCAUCCGAGACCA
rnacentral:tRNA from 1 species